rnacentral:miRNA from 1 species
GUAUGCAUGUGUGUCUGUGUG